rnacentral:rRNA from 1 species
UACAGAGGGGGCAAGCGUUGUUCGGAAUUACUGGGCGUAAAGAGCGCGCAGGCGGCUGGUCAAGUCCGAUGUGAAAGCUCCCGGCUUAACUGGGAAAUUGCAUCGGAAACUGAUCGGCUGGAAGGUGGGAGAGGGUAGCGGAAUUCCCGGUGUAGUGGUGAAAUGCGUAGAUAUCGGGAGGAACACCAGUGGCGAAAGCGGCUACCUGGCCCACAACUGACGCUGAUGCACGAAAGCUAGGGGAGCAAACAGG